rnacentral:rRNA from 1 species
UACGGAGGGUGCAAGCGUUAUCCGGAUUCACUGGGUUUAAAGGGUGCGUAGGUGGGCAGGCAAGUCAGUGGUGAAAUCUCCGGGCUUAACCCGGAAACUGCCGUUGAUACUAUUUGUCUUGAAUAUUGUGGAGGUAAGCGGAAUAUGUCAUGUAGCGGUGAAAUGCUUAGAUAUGACAUAGAACACCAAUUGCGAAGGCAGCUUACUACACAAUGAUUGACGCUGAGGCACGAAAGCGUGGGGAUCAAACAGG